rnacentral:rRNA from 1 species
AGAGUUUGAUCCUGGCUCAGGACGAACGCUGGCGGCGUGCCUAACACAUGCAAGUCGAGCGGAAAGGCCCCUUCGGGGGCACUCGAGCGGCGAACGGGUGAGUAACACGUGGGUAACCUGCCCUUGGCACCGGGAUAAGCCUGGGAAACCGGGUCUAAUACCGGAUAUGACGCGUGACCGCAUGGUCUGCGCGUGGAAAGGGUCUACUGGCCAAGGAUGGACCCGCGGCCUAUCAGUUAGUUGGUGGGGUAACGGCCCACCAAGGCGACGACGGGUAGCCGGCCUGAGAGGGCGACCGGCCACACUGGGACUGAGACACGGCCCAGACUCCUACGGGAGGCAGCAGUGGGGAAUAUUGCACAAUGGGCGCAAGCCUGAUGCAGCAACGCCGCGUGGAGGAUGACGGCCUUCGGGUUGUAAACUCCUUUCAGCUCCGACGAAGCUUCGCUCUUCUGGGGUGGAGUGACUGUAGGAGCAGAAGAAGCACCGGCUAACUACGUGCCAGCAGCCGCGGUAAUACGUAGGGUGCGAGCGUUGUCCGGAAUUAUUGGGCGUAAAGGGCUCGUAGGCGGUCCGUCGCGUCUGCCGUGAAAGCCCGGAGCUUAACUCCGGGUCUGCGGUGGAUACGGGCGGACUAGAGUGCGGCAGGGGAGACUGGAAUUCCUGGUGUAGCGGUGAAAUGCGCAGAUAUCAGAGGAACACCGGUGGCGAAGCGGGUCUCUGGGCCGACACUGACGCUGAGGAGCGAAAGCGUGGGGAGCGAACAGGAUUAGAUACCCUGGUAGUCCACGCCGUAAACGGUGGGCGCUAGGUGUGGGAUCCUUUCCACGGAUUCCGUGCCGUAGCUAACGCAUUAAGCGCCCCGCCUGGGGAGUACGGCCGCAAGGCUAAAACUCAAAGGAAUUGACGGGGGCCCGCACAAGCGGCGGAGCAUGCGGAUUAAUUCGAUGCAACGCGAAGAACCUUACCUGGGUUUGACAUGUACGGAAAACCGGCAGAGAUGUCGGGUCCGUAAGGGCCGUGCACAGGUGGUGCAUGGCUGUCGUCAGCUCGUGUCGUGAGAUGUUGGGUUAAGUCCCGCAACGAGCGCAACCCUCGUCCCAUGUUGCCAGCGGGUAAUGCCGGGGACUCAUGGGAGACUGCCGGGGUCAACUCGGAGGAAGGUGAGGAUGAUGUCAAGUCAUCAUGCCCCUUAAGCCCAGGGCUUCUCGCAUGCUACAAUGGCCGGUACAAUGGGCUGCGAUACCGCAAGGUGGAGCGAAUCCCAAAAAGCCGGUCUCAGUUCGGAUCGGGGUCUGCAACUCGACCCCGUGAAGUCGGAGUCGCUAGUAAUCGCAGAUCAGCAACGCUGCGGUGAAUACGUUCCCGGGCCUUGUACACACCGCCCGUCACGUCAUGAAAGUCGGUAACACCCGAAGCCGGUGGCCCAACCCCUUACGGGGAGGGAGCCGUCGAAGGUGGGACUGGCGAUUAGGACGAAGUCGUAACAAGGUAGCCGUA